rnacentral:rRNA from 1 species
UACGUAGGGUGCGAGCGUUGUCCGGAAUUAUUGGGCGUAAAGAGCUUGUAGGCGGUUUGUCGCGUCUGCCGUGAAAAUCCGGGGCUCAACCCCGGACUUGCGGUGGGUACGGGCAGACUAGAGUGUGGUAGGGGAGACUGGAAUUCCUGGUGUAGCGGUGAAAUGCGCAGAUAUCAGGAGGAACAGCCGGUGGCGAAGGCGGGUCUCUGGGGCCGAUACUGACGCUGAGGAGCGAAAGCGUGGGAGCGAACAGG